rnacentral:rRNA from 1 species
GAUGAACGCUGGCGGCGUGCCUAAUACAUGCAAGUCGAGCGAACGGACCAGAAGCUUGUUUCUCUGUUGUUAGCGGAGGACGGGUGUGUAACACGUGGAUACCCUACCUAUAAGACUGGGAUAACUUCGGAAAACCGUAGCUAAUCCCGGAUAAUCUUUUGAUCCGCAUGGUUCAAAAGUGAAAGACGGUCUUGCUGUAACUUCUAGAUGGAUCCGCGCUGCAUUAGCUAGUUGGUACGGUAACGGCUUACCACGGCAACAAUGCAUAGCCGACCUGAGGGGGGGAUCGGCCACACAGGAACUGAGACACGGUCCAGACACCGACGGGAGGCAGAGGUAGGGAAGCGACGGCAAUGGGCGAAAGCCUGACGGAGCAACGCCGCGUGGGUGAUGAAGGGCUGCGGGUCGGAAAACGCUGUUAUGGGGGAAAAACAUAUUUGUAAGUAACGGUGCACAUCUGAACGGAACCUAAUCAGAAGGCCACGCCAAACUACUG